UAAUCGAUGGGGGGACGCAGUAGGAUAGGCGAAGCGUGCGAUUGGAUUGCACGUCUAAGCAGUAAGGCUGAGUAUUAGGCAAAUCCGGUACUCGUUAAGGCUGAGCUGUGAUGGGGAGAAGACAUUGUGUCUUCGAGUCGUUGAUUUCACACUGCCGAGAAAAGCCUCUAGAUAGAAAAUAGGUGCCCGUACCGCAAACCGACACAGGUAGUCAAGAUGAGAAUUCUAAGGUGAGCGAGCGAACUCUCGUUAAGGAACUCGGCAAAAUGACCCCGUAACUUCGGGAGAAGGGGUGCUCUUUAGGGUUAACGCCCAGAAGAGCCGCAGUGAAUAGGCCCAAGCGACUGUUUAU
rnacentral:rRNA from 1 species